GGCGAACGCUGGCGGCAGGCCUAACACAUGCAAGUCGAACGGAUCCUUCGGGAUUAGUGGCGGACGGGUGAGUAACACGUGGGAACGUGCCCUUUGGUUCGGAACAACUCAGGGAAACUUGAGCUAAUACCGGAUGUGCCCUUCGGGGGAAAGAUUUAUCGCCAUUGGAGCGGCCCGCGUCUGAUUAGCUAGUUGGUGAG
rnacentral:rRNA from 1 species